AAACCGUUCAGGGGUAAACCUGUGAAACCCAAAAGAUCGAAUGAGGAGAUUCAUCGUCAGCGUAUUCAGUAUUAAUAUCGCUAUGAUGUGAUAAUAGAAUCCUUGUGGUCACUAGAUUAUACUUGCUUGUAUUAUUUUUGCUGGGUAUGUCGGCGUGCACUUCUCCUCUAGUAGAACGUCGCAACCCGUUGGAUGUUUAUCUAUGGCCUGAUUGAUAGCCUUUGAUAUNUUAUUAUAUUGAAGAUCUUUUAGUGUCCUGAUGAACUGUCUGACGGUAUACAUAUGUAGUAUUGAGCCGCAAUUAUUUGCGUUAGACUGCGCAAGUAAGGCCUUAUUCUGGCAGUGCGGAUWUAAUGCCGUCGCCGGNACAAGGUCUGCUGUUGGCUGUAAUGUCUUUAACUGGCUUACUUACUGGUUAGCGAUGCUACUGCUUUG
rnacentral:rRNA from 1 species